rnacentral:rRNA from 1 species
GUCGAGGAGAGUAUCCUCAGGUGAGCGAGAGAACUCUCGUUAAGGAACUCGGCAAAAUGGCCCCGUAACUUCGGGAGAAGGGGCGCUGGUCGCAAGAUCAGCCGCAGUGAAAAGGCCCAAGCAACUGUUUAUCAAAAACACAGGCAUCUGCAAAAUCGUAAGAUGAAGUAUAGGUGCUGACACCUGCCCGGUGCUGGAAGGUUAAGAGGAGAGCUUAGCGCAAGCGAAGGUUUGAAUUGAAGCCCCAGUAAACGGCGGCCGUAACUAUAACGGUCCUAAGGUAGCGAAAUUCCUUGUCGGGUAAGUUCCGACCUGCACGAAAGGUGUAAUGAUUUGGGCACUGUCUCAACGAGAGACUCGGUGAAAUUAUAAUACCCGUGAAGAUGCGGGUUACCCGCGACAGGACGGAAAGACCCCAUGGAGCUUUACUGCAGUUUAAUAUUGGGUAUCUGUCAAGCAUGUACAGGAUAGGUAGGAGCCGGAGAAGAUAGGACGCCAGUCUUAUC